GGUGCAAUUUGGCACGCAGGAUCGAAGCUAACGCGUUAAUUUCGCCGCCUGGGGAGUACGGUCCCAAGACUGAAACUCAAAGGAAUUGACGGGGGCCCGCCCAACCGGKGGAGUAGGUGGUUUAAUUCGAUGCAACGCGAAAAACCUUACCUGGUCUUGACAUGUCGAGAACUUUCCAAAGAUGGAUUGGUGCCUUUGGGAACUUGAACACAGGUGCUGCAUGGCUGUCGUCAGCUCGGGUCGUGAGAUGUUGGGUUAAGUCCCGCAACGAGCGCAACCCUUGUCCUUAGUUGCCAGCACGUAAUGGUGGGAACUCUAAGGAGACCGCCGGUGACAAACCGGAGGAAGGUGGGGAAGACGUCAAGUCAUCAUGGCCCUUACGACCAGGGGUACACACGUACUACAAUGGUAGGGACAGAGGGGUGCAAACCCGCGAGGGCAAGCCAAUCCCAGAAACCCUAUUUCAGUCCGGAUUGGAGUCUGCAACUCGACUCCAUGAAGUUGGAAUCGGUAGUAAUCGCAGAUCAGCAUUGCUGCGGUGAAUACGUUCCCGGGCCUUGUACACACCGCCCGUCACACCAUGGGAGUUUGUUGCACCAGAAGCAGGUAGCUUAACCUUCGGG
rnacentral:rRNA from 1 species